rnacentral:rRNA from 1 species
UACGAAGGGGGCUAGCGUUGCUCGGAAUCACUGGGCGUAAAGCGCACGUAGGCGGAUUGCUAAGUCAGGGGUGAAAUCCUGGAGCUCAACUCCAGAACUGCCUUUGAUACUGAAAGUCUUGAGUAUGGGAGAGGUGAGUGGAACUGCGAGUGUAGAGGUGAAAAUUCGUAGAUAUUCGCAAGAACACCAGUGGCGAAGGCGGCUCACUGGCCCAUUACUGACGCUGAGGCACGAAAGCGUGGGGAGCAAACAGG